AACGAACGCUGGCGGCAGGCUUAACACAUGCAAGUCGAACGCCCCGCAUGGGGAGUGGCAGACGGGUGAGUAACGCGUGGGAAUCUACCCAGUUCUACGGAACAACAGUUGGAAACGACUGCUAAUACCGUAUACGCCCUAAGGGGAAAGAUUUAUCGGAAUUGGAUGAGCCCGCGUUGGAUUAGCUAGUUGGUGGGGUAAUGGCCUACCAAGGCGACGAUCCAUAGCUGGUCUGAGAGGAUGAUCAGCCACACUGGGACUGAGACGCGGCCCAGACUCCUACGGGAGGCAGCAGUGGGGAAUAUUGGACAAUGGGCGCAAGCCUAAUCCAGCCAUGCCGCGUGAGUGAUGAAGGCCCUUAGGGUUGUAAAGCUCUUUCAGUAGGGAAGAUAAUGACGGUACCUACAGAAGAAGCCCCGGGCUAACUUCGUGCCAGCAGCCGCGGUAAUACGAAGGGGGUCUAGCGUUGUUCGGGAUUUUACUGGGCGUAAAGCGCACGUAGGCGGUUUGUUAAGUCAGGGGUGAAAUCCGGAGCUCAACUCCGGAACUGCCUUGAUACUGGCAAGCUAGAGUCCGGAAGAGGUAAGUGGAACUCCU
rnacentral:rRNA from 1 species